AAUUUUGGACAAUGGGGGAAACCCUGAUCCAGCCAUCCCGCGUGUAUGAUGAAGGCCCNAGGGUUNUNAAGUACUUUUGGCAGAGNGGAAAAGGUAUCCCCUAAUACGGGAUACUGCUGAUGGUACCUGCAGAAUAAGCACCGGCUAACUACGUGCCAGCAGCCGCGGUAAUACGUAGGGUGCAAGCGUUAAUCGGAAUUACUGUGCGUAAAGCAUGUGUAGGCGGUUCGGAAAGAAAGAUGUAAAAUCCCUGGGCUCAACCUUGGGAUUGCAUUGUUAACUGCCGAGCUAGAGUAAGUCAGAUGGGGGUAGAAUUCAACGUGUAGCAGUGAAAUGCGUAGAUAUGUGGAGGAAUACCGAUGGCGAAGGCAGCCCCCUGGGAUAAUACUGACGCUCAGACAAGAAAGCGUGGGGAGCAAACAAG
rnacentral:rRNA from 1 species